rnacentral:rRNA from 1 species
UACGGAGGGUGCAAACGUUGCCCCGGAAUCAUUGGGCGUAAAGCGCAUGUAGGCGGUCGGCUAUGUCGGAUGUGAAAGCCUCGGGCUUAACCCGAGAAGUGCAUCCGAAACUGGCCGGCUUGAGUACGGAAGAGGGUCUCGGAAUUCCCGGUGUAGAGGUGAAAUUCGUAGAUAUCGGGAGGAACACCAGUGGCGAAGGCGGAGACCUGGGCCGAUACUGACGCUGAGAUGCGAAAGCGUGGGGGAG